GGCGGGGUAGUGUAGUGGACUAUCAUCGUACCCCGGGGCGGUACGGACCAGGGUUCAAAUCCCUGCCCUGCCA
rnacentral:tRNA from 1 species